rnacentral:misc_RNA from 1 species
AUUGACCCAACAUCGCGCCCGCUGUGUGCGGGCCGCGGACAAGUGAGGGUUGGCUGGCGCCAGCUGGUCAUUCCUUGAAACGAACGGCUUGGCCCGCGUUUGUCGGGCUGCGUGUUGCAACUCCACCCGAGCGGCGCCUCACGGCACGCCUCGCUGGGGCCAGCGCGCGGCAAUCCCCGACCGCGGCCAUCAAGCACGCGACAACGACACGCACGAGCGGCCCGCCGUCACCGGCACCGGCUCGCGCACCCA